rnacentral:rRNA from 1 species
ACGGGAGGCAGCAGUGAGGAAUAUUGGUCAGUGGACGGAAGUCUGAACCAGCCAAGUCGCGUGCGGGAUGAAGGCCCUACGGGUCGUAAACCGCUUUUGUACGGGGAUAAAGUCACCCACGUGUGGGUGUUUGUAGGUACCGUAAGAAUAAGGAUCGGCUAACUCCGUGCCAGCAGCCGCGGUAAUACGGAGGAUCCGAGCGUUAUCCGGAUUUAUUGGGUUUAAAGGGUGCGCAGGCGGGCUGCUAAGUCUCCGGUGAAAUGUCAGGGCUCAACCUUGGCACUGCCGGAGAUACUGGCGGCCUUGAGAGUGGCGGAGGUAUCCGGAAUGUGUGGUGUAGCGGUGAAAUGCUUAGAUAUGUCACAGAACACCGAUUGCGAAGGCAGCUGUCCAGAGAUCAUCUGACGCUCAGGCACGAAAGCAUGGGUAUCAAACAGGAUUAGAUACCCUGGUA